UGGGGAAUAUUGGACAAUGGGCGCAAGCCUGAUCCAGCAAUGCCGCGUGGGUGAAGAAGGCCUUCGGGUUGUAAAGCCCUUUAAGCGGGGAGGAAAGCCGGGGUGCAAAUAGCGCCUCGGGGUGACGUUACCCGCAGAAUAAGCACCGGCUAACUCCGUGCCAGCAGCCGCGGUAAUACGGGGGGUGCGAGCGUUAAUCGGAAUGACUGGGCGUAAAGCGUGCGUAGGCGGUGUAAUCAGUCAGCCGUGAAAGCCCCGGGCUUAACCUGGGAAUGGCGGUUGAGACGGUUAGACUCGAGUGGGCUAGAGGACUGUGGAACUCCCGGUGUAGCGGUGAAAUGCGUAGAGAUCGGGAAGAACACCGAUGGCGAAGGCAGCAGUCUGGGGCCACACUGACGCUGAGGCACGACGGCGUGGGGAGCAAACA
rnacentral:rRNA from 1 species